AGUGAACGCUGGCGGCGUGCCUAAUACAUGCAAGUCGAACGAAGUUGCGCACGGGUGAGUAAUAUAUAGUUAAUCUGCCCUACACAGAGGAACAACAGUUGGAAACGACUGCUAAUACCUCAUAGUGUAGGAUGAGACUAUAUCGUAUCAGCUAGUUGGUAAGGUAAUGGCUUACCAAGGCUAUGACGCGUAACUGGUCUGAGAGGAUGCUCAGUCACAUGGUAACUGAGACACGGUCCAACCUCCUACGGGAGGCAGCAGUAAGUAAUAGUGCGCAAUGGGGGAAACCCUGACGAAGCUACGCCGCGUGGAGGAUGACACUUUUCGGAGAGUAAACUCCUUGUAGCAGGAAAGCGGGACCUGAGGAAUAAGCACCGGCUAACUCCGUGCCAGCAGCCGCGGUAAUUC
rnacentral:rRNA from 1 species